GUCUGUGUUCUCUUUCAAGGUUUUGGUUUGUUCCGAUUUUCCUAUAUUUCACAUGAUCGCUUUCUCAUUGGUAGCCUUGCUGACCGAGAUUUUGAAGGUUAGCCAUGGUUUAUUAGCCACGGUUAAGAUAUUGAUUUGCCACGGUUUAGCCGUGGCUAAAAUAAUCUGCUUUUUCAAAUUCUCCCUCUUUCUAAACUUCAUCUUCAACGACAUGAAUCACUCUUCACUCUUCAUCUUCAAAUUCUCCCUUUUCCCCAAUUUCGCUAAAUUUCAUCUCAAUUUCGUGAAACCUUCGCUUUCGAUUUCCAUAACCUUCACUCUUCAACACCAAAACUUUCAUUCUCAAUAUCCUGCAAGCAUAAUCGCUUCUUCCAUUGUUGAGGUUUGUCGCAUUUGGAUUUCAUUGAGUUGUAGUAGUUCGGAUUUCUCGGUUCGUCGCAUUCGGAUUUCACGUUUUCAGGUUGAUUUACAUCCUCUCUUCACAUAGGUUAUAAAGCAUCCAACUCUACAUUAUUUGAAGAUGCAAUCUGAUGGAGGCAGCUUACUAUCUUCAUUUUAGUCUCUCAAAUAAUCUGAUGGCCUAUAUAUUGAAAUUCAAUGAGCUUCCACCACUUGGAGCAAGCUGAAACCUCAAGGCUGUGUUGGAUUUCUCGCGUCCUUGUCCGUAAGCUUGCCCUCAU